ACUCAACGUUAAUUCUUUAAAAAGGGUGAGUUUAAGCUGUAAAAGCAUGCUGCUAGUAUUGAUUUAUUUCAAUACUUGAGCAGACCCUUGAUCAGUUUGUUAGCCCUAAACUUGUUUUUAAGGAGUUU
rnacentral:sRNA from 1 species